rnacentral:rRNA from 1 species
AUAUUGGACAAUGGGGGAAACCCUGAUCCAGCAAUGCCGCGUGAGUGAUGAAGGCCUUAGGGUUGUAAAGCUCUUUCGGUGGUGACGAUGAUGACGGUAACCACAGAAGAAGCCCCGGCUAACUCCGUGCCAGCAGCCGCGGUAAGACGGAGGGGGCUAGCGUUGUUCGGAAUUACUGGGCGUAAAGCGCACGUAGGCGGCCUUUCGAGUCAGACGUGAAAGCCCCGGGCUUAACCCGGGAAUUGCGUUUGAUACUGUUGGGCUUGAGACCGGGAGAGGAUAGCGGAAUUCCCAGUGUAGAGGUGAAAUUCGUAGAUAUUGGGAAGAACACCAGUGGCGAAGGCGGCUAUCUGGACCGGUACUGACGCUGAGGUGCGAAAGCGUGGGGAGCAAACAGG